ACAGUACUCCCUCCGUUUGAAAAUAUUUGUCAUCAAAAUGGAUAAAAAAAGUAUCUAAAACUAAAAUACGUCUAGAUACAUCACCUUUUAUUCAUUUUGAUGACAAAUAUUUCCGAACGGAGGGAGUACCAC
rnacentral:pre_miRNA from 1 species